rnacentral:pre_miRNA from 1 species
UGCAAAAGUAGACAUGGUGUGAUAUUGGUUUGGCUCAUCUUAAUUCAAGCGUCAUAUCAUAUCAUCUUGUUGAGACGAGCCGAAUCAAUAUUACUCUUGUUUGCUUCAUU